GACGAACGCUGGCGGCGUGCUUAACACAUGCAGGUCGAGCGGUAAGGCCCUUUCGGGGGUACACGAGCGGCGAACGGGUGAGUAACACGUGGGUGACCUGCCCUCAGCUCUGGGAUAAGCCUGGGAAACCGGGUCUAAUACUGGAUAUGACUCCAUGACGCAUGUUGUGGGGUGGAAAGCCUUGUGCGGCUGAGGAUGGGCCCGCGGCCUAUCAGCUUGUUGGUGGGGNGAUGGCCUACCAAGGCGACGACGGGUAGCCGGCCUGAGAGGGCGACCGGCCACACUGGGACUGAGACACGGCCCAGACUCCUACGGGAGGCAGCAGUGGGGAAUCUUGCGCAAUGGGCGAAAGCCUGACGCAGCGACGCCGCGUGAGGGAUGACGGCCUGGUGUAAC
rnacentral:rRNA from 1 species